rnacentral:rRNA from 1 species
UGGGGGGAUAUUGCGCAAUGGGGGCAACCCUGACGCAGCAACGCCGCGUGAACGAUGAAGGUCUUCGGAUUGUAAAGUUCUUUUAUUAAGGACGAAGAAGUGACGGUAACUUAAUGAAUAAGCUCCGGCUAACUACGUGCCAGCAGCCGCGGUAAUACGUAGGGAGCAAGCGUUGUCCGGAUUUACUGGGUGUAAAGGGUGCGUAGGCGGCAGAGCAAGUCAGAUGUGAAAUCCGUGGGCUUAACCCACGAACUGCAUUUGAAACUGUUUUGCUUGAGUGAAGUAGAGGCAGGCGGAAUUCCCUGUGUAGCGGUGAAAUGCGUAG